GGGAAAGAGCCCAAACCGGAUUGCAUGCAAUCCGGGGUUUAGGACCGCAUAAACUAAGUUAAGAUGUAUGGGAACGGCUUUGGGAAAGCCGGCCAAAGAGGGUGAUAGCCCCGUAGCAUAUAUCCACACUUAGCGGCGGGAUCCAGAGUACUGCGGGACACGUGAAACCCUGCAGGAAGACGGGGGGACCACCCCCCAAGGCUAAAUACUACCCAGUGACCGAUAGAGCACAGUACCGUGAGGGAAAGGUGAAAAGAACCCCGGGAGGGGAGUGAAAGAGAACCUGAAACCCUGUGUCUACAAGCUGUGGAACUGUUUCAAAAGCAGAACCGCGUACUUUUUGUAGAACGGUCCGGCGAGUUGUCCAUGCCGGCGAGGUUAAGCACAGCAAAGUGUGGAGCCGUAGGGAAACCAAGCCUUAAUAGGGCGAAGGUCGGUAUGGGCAGACCCGAAACCGGGUGACCUAUCCAUGUCCAGGUUGAAGAUGCCGUAAAAGGCAUUGGAGGACCGAACCCACAUCCGUUGAAAAGGGUGGGGAUGAGGUGUGGAUAGCGGAGAAAUUCCAAUCGAACUCGGAGAUAGCUGGUUCUCCCCGAAAUAGCUUUAGGGCUAGCCUGUAGGCAGUCUUGUGGAGGUAGAGCACUGAAUUUCCAAGGGGGCGUCAAAGCUUACUGAGGAAUAUCAAACUCCGAAUGCCAUAAAGAUGAUCCUACGGAGUCAGGCCGUACGAGAUAAGUUGGACGGCCGAAAGGGAAAGAGCCCAGACCGCCAGCUAAGGUCCCAAAAUCAGUGUUAAGUGGAAAAGGAUGUGGGGUUUCAAAGACAGCUAGGAUGUUGGCUCAGAAGCAGCCAUACAUUAAAAGAGUGCGUAACAGCUCACUAGCCGAGAGGCCCUGCGCCGAAAAUGUCCGGGGCUAAAACACUGUACCGAAGCUGCGGAAUGUAUGUAAAUACAUUGGUAGGGGAGCAUUCCCUGGAUGAAGAAGCUGUACCGAAAGGGGCAGUGGAGUGCAGGGAAGGGAGAAUGCCGGAAUGAGUAGCGAGAGUGAGGUGAGAAUCCUCACGGCCGGAUGUCCGAGGUUUCCAGGGUAAAGCUGAUCUUCCCUGGGUAAGUCGGGGCCUAAGGCGAGGCCGAAAGGCGUAGCCGAUGGAUAGCAGUUUGAGAUUACUGCACCACCGCAUGACAGAACUGCGGGGACGCGGGAAAGAGCCACGACCCGGGAAUGGAAAGCCCGGGGCAAGCGAAGACCCUGGUCAGGGAUGAAGAAACCUGGCUGUAAGGGGUAGUCGUUAAGCGGAGCGAACAAGAAGUAGCGAAGCGUGGGGAAUGCCCGCCGGGAAAAGCCGCUAUGGCUCAUGUGGUGCCCGUACCGAAAACCGACACAGGUAGACAGGAAGAGAAUUCCAAGGCCGGCGGGAGAAGUAUUGUCAAGGAACUCGGCAAAAUGUCCCCGUAACUUCGGGAUAAGGGGAGCCUGGGCGACCAGGCCGCAGAGAAAAGGCCCAAGCAACUGUUUAGCAAAAACACAGGUCUAUGCGAAACCGAAAGGUGAAGUAUAUGGGCUGACGCCUGCCCGGUGCUGGAAGGUUAAGGGGAGGGGUUAGGAGAAAUCCGAAGCUUCGAGCCGAAGCCCCAGUAAACGGCGGCCGUAACUAUAACGGUCCUAAGGUAGCGAAAUUCCUUGUCGGGUAAGUUCCGACCCGCACGAAAGGCGUAAUGAUUUGGGCGCUGUCUCGACAAUACACCCGGUGAAAUUGAAGUACCAGUGAAGAUGCUGGUUACCCGCGCCAGGACGGAAAGACCCCAUGGAGCUUUACUCCAGUUUGGCACUGGGAUUCGGCAGUGCACGUACAGGAUAGGUGGGAGGCAAAGAGACAUGUGCGCCAGCAUGUGAGGAGCCGCUGUUGGGAUACCACCCCUGUGCUGCUGGAUUUCUAACCGCAGCCCGUGAAACCGGGUGCGGGACAAUGCCAGGCGGGGAGUUUGACUGGGGCGGUCGCCUCCGAAAGGGUAUCGGAGGCGCUCAAAGGUUCCCUCAGGAUGGACGGAAACCAUCUGAAGAGUGCAAAGGCAGAAGGGAGCCUGACUGCGACACCGACGGGUGGAGCAGGUACGAAAGUAGGACUUAGUGAUCCGGUGGCAGAAAGUGGGAUUGCCAUCGCUCAACGGAUAAAAGCUACCCUGGGGAUAACAGGCUUAUCACUCCCAAGAGUUCACAUCGACGGAGUGGUUUGGCACCUCGAUGUCGGCUCAUCGCAUCCUGGGGCUGUAGCAGGUCCCAAGGGUUGGGCUGUUCGCCCAUUAAAGCGGUACGCGAGCUGGGUUCAGAACGUCGUGAGACAGUUCGGUCCCUAUCCGGCGCGGGCGCAGGAUAUUUGAAGGGGGCUGUCCCUAGUACGAGAGGACCGGGAUGGACGGGCCGCUGGUGCACCUGCUGUCAUGCCAAUGGCACAACAGGGUAGCCAAGCCCGGAAGGGAUAAACGCUGAAGGCAUCUAAGCGUGAAGCCCGCCUUAAGAUGAGAUAUCCCCUGCGAAGCAGGUAAGACCCCUUGGAGAACACGAGGUAGAUAGGACAGAGGUGGAAGCACAGUAAUGUGUGGAGCUGACUGCCACUAAUAGGUCGAGGGUCUGAC
rnacentral:rRNA from 1 species